AUACGAAGGGUGCAAGCGUCACUCGGAAUUACUGGGCGUAAAGCGUGCGUAGGUGGUUGUUUAAGUCUGUCGUGAAAGCCCUGGGCUCAACCUGGGAAUGGCGAUGGAAACUGGGCGACUAGAGUGUGGCAGAGGGUAGUGGAAUUCCUGGUGUAGCAGUGAAAUGCGUAGAGAUCAGGAGGAACAUCCGUGGCGAAGGCGACUGCCUGGGCCAACACUGACACUGAGGCACGAAAGCGUGGGGAGCAAACAGGAUUAGAUACCCUGGUAGUCCACGCCCUAAACGAUGCGAACUGGAUGUUGGGUGCAAUUUGGCACGCAGUAUCGAAGCUAACGCGUUAAGUUCGCCGCCUGGGGAGUACGGUCGCAAGACUGAAACUCAAAUGAAUUGACGGGG
rnacentral:rRNA from 1 species